rnacentral:rRNA from 1 species
AUUGAACGCUGGCGGCAUGCCUUACACAUGCAAGUCGAACGGCAGCACGGAGCUUGCUCUGGUGGCGAGUGGCGAACGGGUGAGUAAUAUAUCGGAACGUACCCUAGAGUGGGGGAUAACGUAGCGAAAGUUACGCUAAUACCGCAUACGAUCUAAGGAUGAAAGUGGGGGAUCGCAAGACCUCAUGCUCGUGGAGCGGCCGAUAUCUGAUUAGCUAGUUGGUAGGGUAAAAGCCUACCAAGGCAUCGAUCAGUAGCUGGUCUGAGAGGACGACCAGCCACACUGGAACUGAGACACGGUCCAGACUCCUACGGGAGGCAGCAGUGGGGAAUUUUGGACAAUGGGCGAAAGCCUGAUCCAGCAAUGCCGCGUGAGUGAAGAAGGCCUUCGGGUUGUAAAGCUCUUUUGUCAGGGAAGAAACGGUGAGAGCUAAUAUCUCUUGCUAAUGACGGUACCUGAAGAAUAAGCACCGGCUAACUACGUGCCAGCAGCCGCGGUAAUACGUAGGGUGCAAGCGUUAAUCGGAAUUACUGGGCGUAAAGCGUGCGCAGGCGGUUCUGUAAGUCUGAUGUGAAAUCCCCGGGCUCAACCUGGGAAUUGCAUUGGAGACUGCAAGGCUAGAAUCUGGCAGAGGGGGGUAGAAUUCCACGUGUAGCAGUGAAAUGCGUAGAUAUGUGGAGGAACACCGAUGGCGAAGGCAGCCCCCUGGGUCAAGAUUGACGCUCAUGCACGAAAGCGUGGGGAGCAAACAGGAUUAGAUACCCUGGUAGUCCACGCCCUAAACGAUGUCUACUAGUUGUCGGGUCUUAAUUGACUUGGUAACGCAGCUAACGCGUGAAGUAGACCGCCUGGGGAGUACGGUCGCAAGAUUAAAACUCAAAGGAAUUGACGGGGACCCGCACAAGCGGUGGAUGAUGUGGAUUAAUUCGAUGCAACGCGAAAAACCUUACCUACCCUUGACAUGGCUGGAAUCCCCGAGAGAUUGGGGAGUGCUCGAAAGAGAACCAGUACACAGGUGCUGCAUGGCUGUCGUCAGCUCGUGUCGUGAGAUGUUGGGUUAAGUCCCGCAACGAGCGCAACCCUUGUCAUUAGUUGCUACGAAAGGGCACUCUAAUGAGACUGCCGGUGACAAACCGGAGGAAGGUGGGGAUGACGUCAAGUCCUCAUGGCCCUUAUGGGUAGGGCUUCACACGUCAUACAAUGGUACAUACAGAGCGCCGCCAACCCGCGAGGGGGAGCUAAUCGCAGAAAGUGUAUCGUAGUCCGGAUUGUAGUCUGCAACUCGACUGCAUGAAGUUGGAAUCGCUAGUAAUCGCGGAUCAGCAUGUCGCGGUGAAUACGUUCCCGGGUCU